AUCUCUGAGUUAGAGUAAACUGUCAUGAACUAAAACUUACUUACUUUACCUCUCACCAUGGGACUUGUAACCGUCACUUCUGUCUUGAGUAGUUAAAAGAUAGAACAGUCUAGCCAAGUGCCAUGUCUCUUAUUCUUGAUCAGCUAUAGCUCUGGGGUUUUUUUUUUGCAGAUUUUCAAAUAAAACUCAGAGAUUCCUUGUAUGACUCUCUCAUAUCUCUCUUUUGUGGUAUUUCUGGAUCCUUACCAAGGCAUUGAUUGUAUAUGCCUUCUCUCAAGAUAUGUGGUAUUUGUGGUAUAAGGCAUAGUGACAUUGCCUUCUCUCUCACCCUACUCUAAUAAGGCUUUAAUAUCUAGAGCUCAUAGGUGGGAAAUAAAGUAUACAUACUUACAAGACAUGUAUUGCAUAGUCAAACCAUGGAUCCAAAGAAACAAGCCAAUGAGUUUAAUCAAGAUGUGCAUGUGUGGCGAAUGAAUGAUGUAUGGUGAUGAUGGUGAUAACAAUGGUGAAAACAAUGGUGGUGGAAGUCUAAUUCUACUUUGCUCUUUUGAGGGGAUACAUACCUUCCUUGCUUUUUUUGAAACUUUAUGAGGAGAAUGAGAUGCUCUUCUUUUUCUUUUCUCUCAGGUGGGUAUCUUGCACCCCUAAUUCUACUGUCGGACACUUGUCCAUUUUUACCUCUCGUCUCACUUUUUCUUUUCUUUCGAGGUUCCGAGCACUUGCUCCUUUUUAUUUCCUCGUAUCUCUCUUUUUUUUUAGAAAGCACUCAUCUCAUGAGAUAAUAUAGCAAGUGGUAGUAACAAGAUAACUUGAGCAUUUAUUUCACAAGGGAAAAACAAAAAUAUUUUUGGUUAUUCUCUCCUGGAUUAGGAGUAGAAUAUUUUUAGGUGGUUCUGGAGAUGGAAAUGGAUGGAUAUAUGUGGACGGUACUUCCAGAGUAGAAGUAGCAUAUAUGAGUGAACGUGCAAGUGAAAUCUUGAUUUAACCACAUGACAAGUUCCUAAGGGUCUACACAGCUUGACCACACUCAAUGCUCAUAAGCAGUAAAUAGUAAAUGUGUGGCUCAAAGUCUAGCAAGCAUGUAUAUAUGGCUGUGGUAGGAAUUUAAACUCUCAUCAUACAGGAACUCAUCAUGCAACAUUUUAAAGAUUUUCAAAGAUAAAAUUCUCCAGAAUUCUAGCAUCUCUAGGA
rnacentral:lncRNA from 1 species